rnacentral:tRNA from 1 species
GCGGCGGUGGCGCAGAGGUGACGCAGCAGACUUAGGAUCUGUGGCCCGUGACAGGGCUUGAGGGUUCGAAUCCCUUCCGCCGCA